ACGAACGCUGCGGCGCGCUAAUACAUGCAAGUCGAGCUAGAAGGUGUAGCAAUACACUUGUAAAGCGGCGAACGGGUGAGGAAUACAUGGGUAACCUACCCUCGAGUGGGGAAUAACUAGCCGAAAGGUUAGCUAAUACCGCAUACGAUUCCGGACUGCGGUUUGGGAAGGAAAGCGAUACCGUGGGUAUCGCGCUCCUGGAUGGGCUCAUGUCCUAUCAGCUUGUUGGUGAGGGUAACGGCCUCACCAAGGCUUCGACGGGUAGCUGGUCUGAGAGGACGAUCAGCCACACUGGCACUGCGACACGGGCCAGACUCCUACGGGAGGCAGCAGUAAGGAAUAUUGCGCAUGGGGCCGACAGCCUGACGCACGGCUGACGCCGCGUGGGGGAUGAAGGUCUUCGGAUUGUAAACCCCUUUCGGGUAGGGAAGAUGGGACGGGCAAUACCGUUCGGCGGUACCUCCAGGAAGCAGCCACGGGCUAACUUCGUGCCAGCAGCCGCGGUAAUACGAAGGUGGCAAGCGUUGUUCGGAUUCACUGGCGUACAGGGAGCGUAGGCGGUUGGGUAAGCCCUCCGUGAAAUCUCCGGGCCUAACCCGGAAAGUGCAGAGGGGACUGCCUUGCGCUAAGAGGAUGGGAGAGGAGCGCGGAAUUCCCGGUGUAGCGGUGAAAUGCGUAGAGAUCGGGAGGAAGGCCGGUGGCGAAGGCGGCGCUCUGGAACAUUUCUGACGCUGAGGCUCGAAAGCGUGGGAGCAACAGGAUUAGAUACCCUGGUAGUCACGCCUUAAACGAUGCGAUACUAAGUGUCGGCGGGUUACCGCCGGUGCCGCAGCUAACGCAGUAAGUAUCCCGCCCUGGGAAGUACCGGCCGCAAGGGUUGAAACUCAAAGGAAUUGACGGGGGCCCGCACAAGCGGUGGAGCAUGUGGUUCAAUUCGACGCAACGCGAAGAACCUUACCCCAGGCUGGACAUGCAGGUAGUAGGAGGGUGAAAGCCUAACGAGGUAGCAAUACCAGCCUGCUCAGGUGCUGCCAUGGCUGUACGUCAGCUCGUGCCAGUGAGGUGUUGGGUUAGAAAGAGUCCCGCAACGAGCGCAACCCCUGUCUUCAGUUACCAACGGGUCAUGCCGGGAACUCUGGAGAGACUGCCCAGGAGAACGGGGAGGAAGGUGGGGAUGACGUCAAGUCAGCAUGGCCUUUAUGCCUGGGUCCACACAGCUUACUACAAUGACCGGUACACAAGGGCUGCAACCCGUAAGGGGGAGCCAAUCCCAAAAAAACCGGCCUCAGUUCGAUUGAGGUCUGCAACUCGACCUCAUGAGAGGCGGAAUCCGCUAGUAAUCGCGGAUCAGCACGCCGCGGUGAAUACGUUCCCGGGCCUUGUACACAACCCGCCCGUCACACCACGAAAGUUUGUUGUACCUGAAGUCGUUGACCGCGCCAACCGCAAGGGUGCAGACGCCCACGGUAUGACCGAUGAUUGGGGUG
rnacentral:rRNA from 1 species